AAAAAUCGGAGUCCUUAAUGAUCAAACUCAGUCGGAAGAUGACUCCCCCGGUGAGAAUUGCAGUUCUCCAAGCGUUUGUAUUCACCGAUUCGGGCGGAGUGCAGUACGUGAACCAGAACCGAUCCGAUCAUUGGCGUCAGUUUUUUUCUUUCACAAAUGUUGAAAUGGUUAUGAAAAAAGAGAUCUCCGCCAUUUUCAUCGUCUAAUUUCUUUCUCUCACAAAUGUUGAAAUGUUUUUAUUAUAUUAUUAGUGAAAGUUAUGAAGUUACAAAACAUUUGAGUCCCUUGUGUAUUCCAUCGAAAUCUCAU
rnacentral:lncRNA from 1 species